GCCAGCGGCUUAUAGCAAGUUAAAAACACCACUUCUUACUUCAAAGUUCCUAAUGGACCAUUGGAGUUAAGAAACGUAGCGCGUGGUUGGUAUCCGGAUAGAUGAUCAUCUCGGUAUUUGCGUGUUGCUGGCU
rfam:Asian citrus Psyllid, Diaphorina citri - Florida Strain, whole genome shotgun sequence.